AUUGCCCUAGUAACGGCGAGUGAAGCGGCAACAGCUCAAAUUUGAAAUCUGGCCUCUUUGGGGGUCCGAGUUGUAAUUUGCAGAGGGUGCUUUGGCGUUGGCUGUGGUCUAAGUUCCUUGGAACAGGACGUCGCAGAGGGUGAGAAUCCCGUAUGUGGCCGCCAGUCUUCGCCGUGUAAAGCCCCUUCGACGAGUCGAGUUGUUUGGGAAUGCAGCUCUAAAUGGGAGGUAAAUUUCUUCUAAAGCUAAAUAUUGGCCAGAGACCGAUAGCGCACAAGUAGAGUGAUCGAAAGAUGAAAAGCACUUUGGAAAGAGAGUCAAAAAGCACGUGAAAUUGUUGAAAGGGAAGCGCUUGCAGCCAGACUUGCUUGCAGUUGUUCAGCCGGGCUCUUGCCCGGUCUACUCUUCUGCUCGCAGGCCAGCAUCAGUCCGGGCGGUUGGAUAAAGGCCUAUUAAACGUACCUCCCCUCGGGGAGGACUUAUAGGGUAGGCGACAUGCAACCAGCCCGGAUUGAGGUCCGCGCAUCUGCUAGGAUGCUGGCGUAAUGGCUGUAAGCGGCCCGUCUUGAAACACGGACCAAGGAGUCUAACAUCUAUGCGAGUGUUUGGGUGUCAAGCCCGAGCGCGUAAUGAAAGUGAACGGAGGUGGGAACCUUUCGGGGUGCACCAUCGACCGAUCCUGAUGUCUUCGGAUGGAUUUGAGNUAGAGCAUAGCUGUUGGGACCCGAAAGAUGGUGAACUAUGCCUGAAUAGGGUGAAGCCAGAGGAAACUCUGGUGGAGGCUCGCAGC
rnacentral:rRNA from 1 species